rnacentral:rRNA from 1 species
GACGAACGCUGGCGGCGUGCCUAAUACAUGCAAGUUGAGCGCUGAAGGUUGGUACUUGUACCAACUGGAUGAGCAGCGAACGGGUGAGUAACGCGUGGGUAAUCUGCCUUUGAGCGGGGGACAACUUUUGGAAACGAAUGCUAAUACCGCAUAAAAACUUUAAACACAAGUUUUAAUUUUGAAAGAUGCAAUUGCAUCACUCAAUGAUUAUCCCGCGUUGUAUUAGCUAGUUGGUGAGGUAAAGGCUCACCAAGGCGAUGAUACAUAGUCGACCUGAGAGGGUGAUCGGACAAAAUGGGAAUGAGAAAAGGCACAAAAUCCUACGGGAGGCAGCAGUAGGGAAUCUUCGGCAAUGGACGAAAGUCUGAACGAGAAAAGCCGCGUGAGGGAAGAAGGUUUUCGGAUCGUAAAACUCUGUUGGUAGAGAAGAAAGUUGGUGAGAGUGGAAAGCUCAUCAAGUGACGGUAACUAAACAGAAAGGGACGGCUAACUACGUG